UGUAGCUCAGUGGUAGAGUGCUUGCCUAGCAUGUGUGAGGCCCUGGGUUCUAUCCCCAGCA
rnacentral:tRNA from 1 species